UACGUAGGGUGCGAGCGUUGUCCGGAAUUACUGGGCGUAAAGAGCUCGUAGGUGGUUUGUCGCGUUGUCCGUGAAAACUCACAACUCAAUUGUGGGCGUGCGGGCGAUACGGGCAGACUGGAGUACUGCAGGGGAGACUGGAAUUCCUGGUGUAGCGGUGGAAUGCGCAGAUAUCAGGAGGAACACCGGUGGCGAAGGCGGGUCUCUGGGCAGUAACUGACACUGAGGAGCGAAAGCGUGGGGAGCGAACAGG
rnacentral:rRNA from 1 species